rnacentral:sRNA from 1 species
GCUGGGCACAGUGGUGCAUGCCUGUAAUCCCAGAGAUUGGAGGCUGAGGCAGGAGGAUCACAAAUUUGAGAUCAGCCUCAGCAAUUUAGCCAGCCCCUGUCUCAA